rnacentral:rRNA from 1 species
CGUAGGUUGCGAGCGUUAUCCGGAAUUAUUGGGCGUAAAGAGUUCGUAGGUGGUUUGUUAAGUUGGAUGUUAAAACUUUGAGCUUAACUCAAAGUCGGUGUCCAAAACUGGCAGGCUAGAGACAAGUAGAGGUAGAUAGAAUUCUGUAUGUAGGGGUAAUAUCCGUAGAUAUACAGAGGAAUACCAAAAGCGAAGGCAGUCUACUGGACUUGUUCUGACACUCAAGAACGAAAGCGUGGGGAGCAAACGGGAUUAGAUACCCCGGUAGUCCACGCCCUAAACUAUGAACACUAGGUGUUGAGGGUCUCGACCCCCUCAGUGCCGACGCUAACGCAUUAAGUGUUCCGCCUGGGUAGUACGGUCGCAAGACUA